rnacentral:rRNA from 1 species
AACGAACGCUGGCGGCAUGCCUAACACAUGCAAGUCGAACGAGACCUUCGGGUCUAGUGGCGCACGGGUGCGUAACGCGUGGGAACCUGCCCUUAGGUUCGGAAUAACUCCCCGAAAGGGGUGCUAAUAACGGAUAAUGUCUUCGGACCAAAGAUUUAUCGCCUUUGGAUGGGCCCGCGUUGGAUUAGCUAGUUGGUGGGGUAAAAGCCUACCAAGGCGACGAUCCAUAGCUGGUCUGAGAGGAUGAUCAGCCACACUGGGACUGAGACACGGCCCAGACUCCUACGGGAGGCAGCAGUGGGGAAUAUUGGACAAUGGGCGAAAGCCUGAUCCAGCAAUGCCGCGUGAGUGAUGAAGGCCUUAGGGUUGUAAAGCUCUUUUACCCGGGAUGAUAAUGACAGUACCGGGAGAAUAAGCUCCGGCUAACUCCGUG